GAGGGUGUAGCUCAGUGGUAAGAGUGUGUGCUUAAUAUGCAUAAGGUCCUGGGUUUGAUCCCCAGUACCUCCA
rnacentral:tRNA from 1 species